UCUUAGUGGCGGACGGGUGAGUAACGCGUGGGUAACCUGCUUAUACAGGGGGAUAACACUUAGAAAUAGGUGCUAAUACCGCAUAAGCGCACGGGGCUGCAUGGCCCAGUGUGAAAAACUCCGGUGGUAUAAGAUGGACCCGCGUCUGAUUAGCUUGUUGGCGGGGUAACGGCCCACCAAGGCGACGAUCAGUAGCCGGCCUGAGAGGGUGGACGGCCACAUUGGGACUGAGACACGGCCCAAACUCCUACGGAAGGCAGCAG
rnacentral:rRNA from 1 species